AUUGAACGCUGGCGGCAUGCCUUACACAUGCAAGUCGAACGGUAACAGGUCUUCGGAUGCUGACGAGUGGCGAACGGGUGAGUAAUGCAUCGGAACGUGCCCAGUAGUGGGGGAUAGCCCGGCGAAAGCCGGAUUAAUACCGCAUACGACCUGAGGGUGAAAGGGGGGGAUCGCAAGACCUCUCGCUAUUGGAGCGGCCGAUGUCAGAUUAGCUAGUUGGUGGGGUAAAGGCCUACCAAGGCAACGAUCUGUAGUUGGUCUGAGAGGACGACCAGCCACACUGGGACUGAGACACGGCCCAGACUCCUACGGGAGGCAGCAGUGGGGAAUUUUGGACAAUGGGCGCAAGCCUGAUCCAGCAAUGCCGCGUGCAGGAAGAAGGCCUUCGGGUUGUAAACUGCUUUUGUCAGGGAAGAAACGGUAGAGGCUAAUAUCCUUUGCUAAUGACGGUACCUGAAGAAUAAGCACCGGCUAACUACGUGCCAGCCGCCGCCGUAAUAC
rnacentral:rRNA from 1 species